rnacentral:rRNA from 1 species
CCUACGGGAGGCAGCAGUGGGGAAUCUUGCGCAAUGCGCGAAAGCGUGACGCAGCAACACCGCGUGAGGGAAGACGGCCUUAGGGUUGUAAACCUCUUUCAGAUGGGACGAAGGUUGUCCGGUGAAUAGCCGAGAUAAUUGACGGUACCGUCAGAAGAAGCUCCGGCUAACUACGUGCCAGCAGCCGCGGUAAUACGUAGGGAGCGAGCGUUGUCCGGAAUCAUUGGGCGUAAAGAGCAUGUAGGUGGAUCAAUAAGUCUGCUGUGAAAGUCGAAGGCUCAACCUUCGAAAGCCGGUGGAUACUGUUGAUCUAGAGUACGGAAGAGGCGAGUGGAAUUCCUGGUGUAGUGGUGGAAUGCGCAGAUAUCAGGAGGAACACCAAUAGCGAAGGCAGCUCGCUGGGACGUAACUGACACUGAGAUGCGAAAGCGUGGGGAGCAAACAGGAUUAGAUACCCUGGUAGUCCACGCCGUAAACGAUGGGUACUAGAUGUGGGAGGUGUCGACUCCUUCCGUAUCGUAGCUAACGCACUAAGUACCCCGCCUGGGGAGUACGGCCGCAAGGCUAAAACUCAAAUGAAUUGACGG